CGCUGGCGGCAGGCCUAACACAUGCAAGUCGAGCGGUAGCACAGAGAGCUUGCUCUCGGGUGACGAGCGGCGGACGGGUGAGUAAUGUCUGGGAAACUGCCUGAUGGAGGGGGAUAACUACUGGAAACGGUAGCUAAUACCGCAUAAUGUCGCAAGACCAAAGUGGGGGACCUUCGGGCCUCAUGCCAUCAGAUGUGCCCAGAUGGGAUUAGCUAGUAGGUGGGGUAACGGCUCACCUAGGCGACGAUCCCUAGCUGGUCUGAGAGGAUGACCAGCCACACUGGAACUGAGACACGGUCCAGACUCCUACGGGAGGCAGCAGUGGGGAAUAUUGCACAAUGGGCGCAAGCCUGAUGCAGCCAUGCCGCGUGUGUGAAGAAGGCCUUCGGGUUGUAAAGCACUUUCAGCGGGGAGGAAGGCGGUGAGGUUAAUAACCUCACCGAUUGACGUUACCCGCAGAAGAAGCACCGGCUAACUCCGUGCCAGCAGCCGCGGUAAUACGGAGGGUGCAAGCGUUAAUCGGAAUUACUGGGCGUAAAGCGCACGCAGGCGGUCUGUCAAGUCGGAUGUGAAAUCCCCGGGCUCAACCUGGGAACUGCAUUCGAAACUGGCAGGCUAGAGUCUUGUAGAGGGGGGUAGAAUUCCAGGUGUAGCGGUGAAAUGCGUAGAGAUCUGGAGGAAUACCGGUGGCGAAGGCGGCCCCCUGGACAAAGACUGACGCUCAGGUGCGAAAGCGUGGGGAGCAAACAGGAUUAGAUACCCUGGUAGUCCACGCCGUAAACGAUGUCGAUUUGGAGGUUGUGCCCUUGAGGCGUGGCUUCCGGAGCUAACGCGUUAAAUCGACCGCCUGGGGAGUACGGCCGCAAGGUUAAAACUCAAAUGAAUUGACGGGGGCCCGCACAAGCGGUGGAGCAUGUGGUUUAAUUCGAUGCAACGCGAAGAACCUUACCUGGUCUUGACAUCCACAGAACUUUCCAGAGAUGGAUUGGUGCCUUCGGGAACUGUGAGACAGGUGCUGCAUGGCUGUCGUCAGCUCGUGUUGUGAAAUGUUGGGUUAAGUCCCGCAACGAGCGCAACCCUUAUCCUUUGUUGCCAGCGGUUCGGCCGGGAACUCAAAGGAGACUGCCAGUGAUAAACUGGAGGAAGGUGGGGAUGACGUCAAGUCAUCAUGGCCCUUACGACCAGGGCUACACACGUGCUACAAUGGCAUAUACAAAGAGAAGCGACCUCGCGAGAGCAAGCGGACCUCAUAAAGUAUGUCGUAGUCCGGAUUGGAGUCUGCAACUCGACUCCAUGAAGUCGGAAUCGCUAGUAAUCGUAGAUCAGAAUGCUACGGUGAAUACGUUCCCGGGCCUUGUACACACCGCCCGUCACACCAUGGGAGUGGGUUGCAAAAGAAGUAGGUAGCUUAACCUUCGGGAGGGCGCUUACCACUUUGUGAUUCAUGACUGGGGUGAAG
rnacentral:rRNA from 1 species